CAGUAGCCACGGUAAUACAGAGGGUGCGAGCGUUAAUCGGAUUUACUGGGCGUAAAGCGUGCGUAGACGGCUUCUUAAGUCGGAUGUGAAAUCCCUGAGCUUAACUUAGGAAUUGCAUUCGAUACUGGGAAGCUAGAGUAUGGGAGAGGAUGGUAGAAUUCCAGGUGUAGCGGUGAAAUGCGUAGAGAUCUGGAGGAAUACCGAUGGCGAAGGCAGCCAUCUGGCCUAAUACUGACGCUGAGGUACGAAAGCAUGGGGAGCAAACAGGAUUAGAUACCCCAGUAGUCCCUGUCUCUUAUAC
rnacentral:rRNA from 1 species